GGCGUGCCUAAUACAUGCAAGUCGAACGAACUCUGGUAUUGAUUGGUGCUUGCAUCAUGAUUUACAUUUGAGUGAGUGGCGAACUGGUGAGUAACACGUGGGAAACCUGCCCAGAAGCGGGGGAUAACACCUGGAAACAGAUGCUAAUACCGCAUAACAACUUGGACCGCAUGGUCCGAGUUUGAAAGAUGGCUUCGGCUAUCACUUUUGGAUGGUCCCGCGGCGUAUUAGCUAGAUGGUGGGGUAACGGCUCACCAUGGCAAUGAUACGUAGCCGACCUGAGAGGGUAAUCGGCCACAUUGGGACUGAGACACGGCCCAAACUCCUACGGGAGGCAGCAGUAGGGAAUCUUCCACAAUGGACGAAAGUCUGAUGGAGCAACGCCGCGUGAGUGAAGAAGGGUUUCGGCUCGUAAAACUCUGUUGUUAAAGAAGAACAUAUCUGAGAGUAACUGUUCAGGUAUUGACGGUAUUUAACCAGAAAGCCACGGCUAACUACGUGCCAGCAGCCGCGGUAAUACGUAGGUGGCAAGCGUUGUCCGGAUUUAUUGGGCGUAAAGCGAGCGCAGGCGGUUUUUUAAGUCUGAUGUGAAAGCCUUCGGCUCAACCGAAGAAGUGCAUCGGAAACUGGGAAACUUGAGUGCAGAAGAGGACAGUGGAACUCCAUGUGUAGCGGUGAAAUGCGUAGAUAUAUGGAAGAACACCAGUGGCGAAGGCGGCUGUCUGGUCUGUAACUGACGCUGAGGCUCGAAAGUAUGGGUAGCAAACAGGAUUAGAUACCCUGGUAGUCCAUACCGUAAACGAUGAAUGCUAAGUGUUGGAGGGUUUCCGCCCUUCAGUGCUGCAGCUAACGCAUUAAGCAUUCCGCCUGGGGAGUACGGCCGCAAGGCUGAAACUCAAAGGAAUUGACGGGGGCCCGCACAAGCGGUGGAGCAUGUGGUUUAAUUCGAAGCUACGCGAAGAACCUUACCAGGUCUUGACAUACUAUGCAAAUCUAAGAGAUUAGACGUUCCCUUCGGGGACAUGGAUACAGGUGGUGCAUGGUUGUCGUCAGCUCGUGUCGUGAGAUGUUGGGUUAAGUCCCGCAACGAGCGCAACCCUUAUUAUCAGUUGCCAGCAUUAAGUUGGGCACUCUGGUGAGACUGCCGGUGACAAACCGGAGGAAGGUGGGGAUGACGUCAAAUCAUCAUGCCCCUUAUGACCUGGGCUACACACGUGCUACAAUGGAUGGUACAACGAGUUGCGAACUCGCGAGAGUAAGCUAAUCUCUUAAAGCCAUUCUCAGUUCGGAUUGUAGGCUGCAACUCGCCUACAUGAAGUCGGAAUCGCUAGUAAUCGCGGAUCAGCAUGCCGCGGUGAAUACGUUCCCGGGCCUUGUACACACCGCCCGUCACACCAUGAGAGUUUGUAACACCCAAAGUCGGUGGGGUAACCUUUUAGGAACCAGCCGCCUAAGGUGGGACAGAUGAUUAGGGUGAAGUCGUAACAAGGAGG
rnacentral:rRNA from 1 species